rnacentral:lncRNA from 1 species
CAUUUCUCAUGAGAAUGUCACACCAGUCACUUAUGUUGCGACCCACAAGACUCAUCCACCAUCCAAUCAAGGUUGUGUGAUCCUCAAGGUUGUGUGAUCCUAACCCCUUUCUAUGUCCUUAAACCAACAACGACAUUCUGCUGCAUCCAUCAGCAAAAUUAUCCCAUCUAAAGAAAGGUUGUGUGAUCCUCAAGGUUGUUUCCAGUUAUUCAGACUGUGAACUAGAGGCAUCAAGAGGUUUUUUCAUUUGCUUGUGGUUCAUCGUACCUCCCGUUUUGUGCAUGUUGUACCACAGGUUGGCGAAUCCUGUACUUACCAAAUUGUUCUAAAAUUUACCAGUUACCUCACCUUAUUCCUUUUUAGGACAGGUAUCUAGCAGGUCACUUAAGAAGGCCAUUGGAUUCAAAACUCAUGUACGCUACUGUGACACAUUGAUGGUCCUGAAGUUGUGGAUAAUGUCAAAGGUUCCCUUUAGAUCAAGGUAACUUCUAGGUCCCUUUGUCUAGAUUAU